GUGGGAGAGAAGUGGCAUGGUAUUACUCAGAUUGGAGGGCAUGUUUAACACAACAGUGCCACGUGAACGAUAUCUCUCGGGGAGAGGAGCAGGCUGCAGCUGGCAAUGCCUGUUAGAUUUAAGGGGAUGAGGUAACUGAUCCUCUAUCGGAAGGACAGAUCCUAAGCAACCAGAAAAGAACAUUUUGAUGGUGUCCUUAAUCAAACAUUGACUGUCAACGGUGAACACACCGGGAGGGGACCAAAGCCGAGAGCCACAAGAAACUGAGACCCUCGUUCGGGAAGUAGCACUUCCUGCGGUUGCAGGGAGAGGCGGUGGUGCUGGUGCGGAGUGGAGAGAGAGCGGUCCCCCCGGAAAGCAGGGAGGGGAGUGGAGGGAAAUAUAUCCUUGGUUGUGUUCAGAAGUGACAGAGAAUGAUAUUUCUCUCCCGUGGUGUGAAAGCUGAGGGACAGUCCGCACCAUCUCCCUGAGGGCAUCGAGCAGGAGUGGCUGCUGUGUCAAUCAGUCCCACAUUUCAUCUGAGCCACCUCCCUCCGUGCCGCCGCUGAGUGGAAGCCAAAAGCGAAAACAUAACGCGCCGCAAACUGAAGAGAAUGUGAAUUUUAGCCAAUUAGACAGUAUUUGUUUGUCAUGUGGCUUUUGUUACAAACUCAGUGAGAAGUGAUGUGCAGUGUUGCCACCCGGAAACACAGAAAAUAAACCGAAACCACAGAGAGCAGGAAGCUCCCCGAGCUCUCCACAGGAAAAUCAGGAAAAUAGAAAAGACCGAGAAAAGGUGAAAAGAAAACCGGGCAGAUCCCGGGCCUCAGGGGCCUGAUGCUGCCAGCUUCACCCCCACCACCACCUGGUAAAAAAUAUCCCAGUCGGUGUGUGUUCGCUGCCCCCGAGGGAAACAUUCCCAUCAGUUUUUGUAUCUCAGACUCAACCAGAACCUUCAGGCGGUUCAAUCUCACGGGGACUGGUGAUGGUCAGCCCUUCCUCGUUUUUAACUGCGGAGUUUUCUUUCUGAGACAAACCAACCAGUCACUCCCACUCCGAGUCAUUAGGAAAGGAUCCAACUUCAGUCCAACGGUCAAAGCGACAUCUUGCAAUUCUGUUUUGUUUUAUUUUCCCCAGCCCCCAAACUAUGAUUAUUUCUCCCUUCCCAGGAAUAUUUAAUUCCCAGGGCUUGAUUGGAAUACAGACAGUGGACUGUGCCAGAAUGUUGAUGACCCUUUUCUCCAUCUCCCUGUGUUUUUCCUCGGUCUCUCCCGAGUCUCAUUCCCUGCUGUAUCAGUACACCUUAAAUCAUGGGAGACCUGAUUUACCAGAGUAUAGUGUCCUGGGGAUUUUGGAUGGCUGUGAGAUAUACUAUUUUGACAGCAAUAUGAAAAUAACCGUUCCAAGGCAAAAAUGGAUGGCGGAAGCAUUUGACAAGACUUACUGGGAACAGUGCACUAUCACCGAAUCUGGCUUCCAUGGAAUCAUUAAGGGACAGGCUGAUGAAUGGCUCCAGAAAGAAAACCAAACAUCAAGUACCCAUUACCUGCAAGGACUGUUUGGCUGUGAGCUGCAUGAUGCCGAUCCGAAUGAAGGGAUUUUGAAGUUUGCGUUUGAUGGCAGAUACAUCCUCAGUUUUGAUAAAGAUACAUUGGUGUGGAUUAUACAUGAUAAGUUUGCAAAAGAAUUCAAAGAGAAAUGGGAUAAGGAAACAAAGAUGAACCAUUAUUUCAAGAGCCUGUUAGAAAAUGACUGUCCAGAUCUAUGGAAGACGUACUAUUCAAUUGGAAAUGCCUCUUUAAGCAGAAAAACUCCCCCUGAGGUCUCCAUUAUUGCCAAGAGUGGCAGCCACUCUUUUCUACAAUGCAUUGUGAUUGGAUUUUACCCACAGCCCAUCAACGUGACCUGGUUGAAGAAUGGAAAACCUGCUCAUGAGACAAACUCUACUGGGUUAUUGCCCAAUGAAGAUGGGACAUUCCAACUAAAGACAACCCUCCAAUUCGACCCAUAUGAUGGCAGCCAAUAUGCCUGUCAUAUUGAGCACAUCAGCUUCCCAGGCGGAAAGACUGUCCUUUGGGAAGGAAAAGUGAAGAACAGCAAAAAUGUGGGGCUGAUUGUCUUGGGUGUACUGGUGUCACUGGCAAUUAUUCUUAUCAUAUUUAUAUGGUGGAAGAGACAAAGAGUUUGAAUAACUUCAGCAUGGCAUAAACAGCCCCACAAAAGCAGGACAUUGUCAGCUGCUAACAGCUAAAGUGUACAAUCUUGUAUAAGGUUACAAUGUUAUUUAACCAGGGCCUGAGAUGGUGAAAUGCUUGAGGUGAAUUGGCAGCAAAGACAGACUGAAAUUAAUAAUUUCUUUGUAACUGUAGCUGUUUUAAUUGCAUAAUCAUUGAACAUGUUUUUUCUAAUAAUUUUACUAAAACAUUAAUUAUUUGCUCAACUUUGGAAUGAGUAAUGCCAUGUUUGAUCUAUAAUUGCAUAAACUGAUUCUAUAUAUUACAUAAUGGCAGCAAUGAAUUCAAAAGCAUGUGCGGUCAAUAUUAUUCCUACAUCCCAGAGAUGUACUGGAUGUUGGCCUCAGGUUGAGGACCUGCACUUGUCGGAUUAGGUAAUGGGUAUAGAAGUUCUGUUCAACCAGUGGGUGCACAACUGAGCAUCACAAACUUUAUCAAAAGUUACUACUCACCUAUUGUAUCCAUGCAACAUUGGCGAGGAAAACCCAACGAUGAUACUUCCCUCUAUAAGUGAAGAGAUUGAUGUUGAUGUAGCAUGUCUGCUGUUAACAGGAUCAUUCUAAAUGGGAAUAAAACUAAAAGACCUGGUCCAACUGGUGUGUAAUCUUUACCUGUCAGCAUUAAGUGAAGUGCAUCUCCAGAAAAUCGCACAAACUGUAAAGGUAUUUUCAGAAUAUUUUAGAGGGAAGUUUUAACAGUGGCAAGAGAUGACUGCAAACCUUUGGUACGUGGAUUUUGCCUCUGUCAGAGACUUCUGUUACACCUUACAAAAGCAAUUAAUCUCCACACAUAGUAGAAAAAGUACCGUACCACAUUAGACCUUAUUAACUCCCAUCACGUAUCCCACUCAAUGUUAAUUUUCAUUGAACUCUGGAAAAAAAUGCUAUUUGCAGCAUUUAACAGGUUUUAUCUACUCACACCUAUUUUGCGCAGCUAUUGUGGGAGCUAUUCAUUUAGAGGUCAGAACACAAAAAUUGGGCUUUAAUGGGUCCUGACCUAAGAUAGUGACCAGACUCAAUGGACACUUGAGUAGAUUUUUUAACUGCUCUCUGAAUUUCAUCUGGGAAACUGCAUAAAUAAUGAUGUUUGUGCAGGAACUCAAGUGUUGCAGCAUGUAUCCUGUUUGCUCCAUAAUGGUCAAAGGAUUACUGUAAUCUGGGUGGAAGUAUUCAACAUCCAUAAUUUGUACACAUAUAUAAUGAGUAAAUGUGACUAUCCACAGCAGUAUGAAGCUACCAGAUAUGGCCAGUCGUAAAAUGAUGGAUUUCCUUCGGUUUUCCAUUUCAGGGUCUUUGUCACUACCCCAGAGACCCUUCCUGAUCCUGCUUGUCAGUAGAAUAUGCCUGAUGGUCAGGCCAUUGAAUAUAAGGAUCAAGAGAAAAGGAAUAAAAGGCAUGAAAGCUAUCUCAAUCCAUAAGAAUGUAACCCACAGAGGAACAGUGUAGAAGCUUAAUUUUAUAUUGCAGAACCAUGAUAUAUUAUCAAUUAUUAUGCGAGGUUCAAACAUAAAGUAAUUUGAUAUGUUUCCCAGGAUGCUCAGCACCCAUAUCAUGGUGACAACUAUUGCGGCAGUCUUUUCAGUGCAAUAUUGUGUUCUUGCUUUUUGGCAACAAAUAGCAACAAAUCUGUCAAAGGUGAAAGCUACAGUCAACCAGACAGAGCAUUCAAUAAAAGCAAAAAUUGGGAAGAAAUUCAGACUGCACAUGGGUAUAGUCCAAGGAGGAAUCUGGGAAAUAAAAUUCAUUCAUCUCAUAGAGAACCACAUCAAAUAGGAGGACCAGUAGAUCUGCUGCUGCCACGAAUACCAGAUAAAUUAUGAUGCAUUUAGAGAGGCCACAUUUUCCAUGGGAGAGAAUCAAAAUUGUUACCAAACUAGCUGUAUAUGGAGAAGAAAUGAAAUAGAUCGGUACAGUAGAUUAAAAAGAAAUUUGAGCAAAAGAAAUGACAAUGAUCAAUGCUUUCUUUUUGCCCUCAUCCAAAUAAUUUUAAUAAUUCUGAGGAUGCAUAUCAGCAAAAUAUAAUUUAUUGUCAAAACGAAUCAAGCAACAAAUUAGAGACCUAAGCACCAAUUUCAGAACACCUCAUUAAAGUUUCUAAUUUGUUGUUCAUACAACUUUAGAGGCAAGCAAUGAAGUUAGGGAUUUAUUGCAGCACAUUUACAGAUUUAGUGCAUCAUUUACAAUUUUCUCAAUGUUACCAUAAACAGCACAAAAUAAUUUCUCUGUUCCUUGUGAAAACUAGCAUUCAUAGAAUCAUGGUCACUUAUGGCACAGAUGGAGUUCAUUCAGCUCUUCAUGGAACAAUCUAUUAAUUCCUGUUCUGCUGCUCAGUCUUAGUAUGCCUGUGAGGUUGUUUAAUUCAACUGUCUAUUCAAUCUUCUCUAGAAAGCAUUGAUUAUUUCUACCGCCAUCCCAUCAGAGAAUUACAAAUCACUACCUUAGAAAAAACUCUAUUUCUUGUCUAAGAUCCUAAAUCUGUGUCCAUUAGUGCUUAUCAAUUCAUGGCAAGAGUUUUUGCUUGUUUUUCUUUUUCCAAUUAAUCAUAACAGAAUUUUCGAAUCACAGUUACUUUGCCACAGAAGGGCAACUUCCCACCCAUUUUAUGGGCUGUUGAGUGAAUUUGUGACAUCUGCUAUUUGUCUUCCCAUCUGCCAGUUCCCUCCGAAUUGUGGUAUCACAUCUAUAUCAUCUCACUUUUUUUUUAGCUCAAAGUAUAUUGCCAGAAACUCUUUUACAUUGACUUCCAUAGACAACUUAUCAAUGGGUUCUAUUGCCUGUACCCUGUUCCAGGCAAUUCUCAACAUUCUCACUGUUUGCUCCUCCUACAUGUUGCGAUCAUUGCAAAAUUUCAAACUUUUCCUCCAGGUCAAAGGUUUAAGUCAACAAGAUAUAACGGAAAAUGCUUCAAAAUUUGCAAUCAAUCUGUUUUCUUCUAAUCUACCCCUAAAAUCAAACAAGAACUAUAAUUUUGGUGAAAGAUAUGCUCGAUGGUGCUGUAAUACCAGUGUGGACAGGAUUAAAAUUUUCUUAAUAGCAUGUUAAAAAUUCAUGAUUACCAGGUGGAUCAGUCAAUAAGUGUUUCUCCAGAACUGCAGUUUCAUUUUCGGUCAAGCUACACAUACCAUCACAAUUUUACGUUCAUGCAGAUGACUAUUGUGGGAAAUAAGUGGUAGAGUGUAGUGUCUCUGAAUGA